rnacentral:rRNA from 1 species
UACGUAGGGGGCAAGCGUUGUCCGGAUUUAUUGGGCGUAAAGAGCGUGUAGGCGGCUUGGCAAGUCCGCUGUGAAAACUCGAGGCUCAACCUCGAGACGUCGGUGGAAACUGCCUGGCUAGAGUCCGGAAGAGGAGAGUGGAAUUCCUGGUGUAGCGGUGAAAUGCGCAGAUAUCAGGAAGAACACCCGUGGCUAAGGCGGCUCUCUAGUACGGUACUGACGCUGAGACGCGAAAGCGUGGGGAG